rnacentral:rRNA from 1 species
AGUGAACGCUGGCGGUAGGCCUAACACAUGCAAGUCGAACGGCAGCACAGUAAGAGCUUGCUCUUACGGGUGGCGAGUGGCGGACGGGUGAGGAAUACAUCGGAAUCUACUUUUUCGUGGGGGAUAACGUAGGGAAACUUACGCUAAUACCGCAUACGACCUACGGGUGAAAGCAGGGGAUCUUCGGACCUUGCGCGAUUGAAUGAGCCGAUGUCGGAUUAGCUAGUUGGCGGGGUAAAGGCCCACCAAGGCGACGAUCCGUAGCUGGUCUGAGAGGAUGAUCAGCCACACGGGAACUGAGACACGGUCCAGACUCCUACGGGAGGCAGCAGUGGGGAAUAUUGGACAAUGGGCGCAAGCCUGAUCCAGCCAUACCGCGUGGGUGAAGAAGGCCUUCGGGUUGUAAAGCCCUUUUGUUGGGAAAGAAAAGCAGCAGGUUAAUACCCCGCUGUUCUGACGGUACCAAAAGAAUAAGCACCGGCUAACUUCGUG